GGUUGCACAACUCAGUAAUCCAAACCUGCUCAGGAGUCACAAGCAAAAACCAGAGGUCAAGUGUAAAGUUUGCAGUAGAGUCUUCUCCCUUACAGUGUGUUUUAGUUUGGACAGAAGCUGCAGAAAACAUGCAGAAGGUUUUUCAGCUCCGUGCGGCUCUGCUGCUCGUUCUGUGGAUCUCCUUAGUUGUGCCACCGUGUCACUCUAAUGCUCCAAGUGCUCCCGAGUACUGCUGCCUUCAAUUCUUCAGAAUCCCAGUGAACAAAAAUCUCGUCUCUUCAUAUUACUUAACUGAUCCUCGCUGCCCCAUAAGUGCAGUUGUCUUAAUAACAAGCAGGGCACGCAGGAUCUGUGUGGAUGGACAGCAACUGUGGGUGAAGAAAAUUAUUGAGCAUCUGGAGAACAUAUCCCGUUAAAGGAUCUGCCGUCUGUUCUGCUUCAUCAGAUCAUGUGAAGAACAAUAAAGCACAUGUGGAAAAGUGA